UGUUAUUCUGCGGCCAAAUGAUGUCUAAAAUGCUGUCUAGAUAGGCAGCUCACUAGGUAUUGAGACACGGCCACUCUUUCAGCUGAUAAAAACUCUGGAAAAACUGGAAAACCACAUCUCAGACGUCUGUUUUGUUUUACUCCACUCUUGACACUUUUUAUGUACAACGCCCGGUGUUUAUUUAGGUUAUUAUUGUUGUCUGUGAAAAUAAAAGGCUUUUCUUUGCUUGUCUAGACAAAUGAGCUGUGAGCAGCUCUUCAGUUGAGCUGUGAAGUGCGAGUCAGAUUUUCCAAUAGCUCAUUUAUGAAAAGCACGGGAGCUCCUUUUCUGCCUGCUGAUCUGUAAUAGUCUGUGACUGUGAGUAUGCUGUUGCUCCAGAACAGAAUGAGAAGGAAUUGUUUGUCCUGGUGCCUUUUCCUGCUGUUUGUCUGGUACCCAGCGGGCAGCGUAGUGACGGAGAUUGAGCUGGAGGAUUCGGACUGGAACUGGGGUUCUGGAUUACACGAACUCCUAAACAGCUUUCCAGCUGAUAGUCCAUUUGUCAGAGAGACGCCUGGCAGGCCAGCCAACUGCACUCAGCGCUUCUGGCUUCCUCCAUCCUCCCCUGUGUGCUGGGAUGAUAUAGCGGGCCCAGAGGAGUUUGAGAAGUCCCGCAUUCUCGUGCUGCAGAACAGGGCGGCACUGCAGGCCGUAUCGACAUCUAGUGGUCUCGAGGAAGGGGGUGCGUCCUACGAUCAACAGGCCAGGGAGAACAUGCAGGGCGUCCGGGCUGACCAUCUCGUUGUGGCCCAGACGGCUGAUACAAUGCAGAAGGUGUUCAUGGAUUUGGAUGAGAAGAGGAAGGAGGGGAAAGAGCAUUAUACCUUCUCAAGUCUGAAGGAGCAAAUUGACAACACGAAAGACUCCAUUGCUAAAAAGGAGCAAGUAGCAGCUCUUCUAGAGAAACAUCUUGCCAAUCUGGAGAGGUCUUUGAACACUAUGCAGCUUCAAUUGGCCAAACUACUUCCCCAGUAAUUUCAUUUGAGCAGCACAACCUACACAUGUGGAAAAUAAUAUAAUGCAUGUUUUAUUAUUACAUUUGAUCAAACACAUAAGACUUGUAUGACCAUGUACUGCAUGCCAACAGCACCCUGUAUUUCUCUUUUGCGUAUUUUCCUCUUGUUUUUCCACUCCAUUAAGUAAAUGGGAUAAAUAUUCGGUAAUGGCAAUAAAAUCUAUUUUUAUACCCCCAGACUAUAUACUGUUCCCUACGAAUGUAAGGUACAAUUAUAUUACACGUAAUAAAAAAACAACACAACAGUUCACUUUCAAAAGUUUUGCAUGUCAUAGAUUCUGACUGAUUGUCAUAUUAAAAAUAAGAUUAUAGUGAACACAUAAUCAGCAAAAGUAUUUAUUCAAAAACAAAAUUCAGACUGUUCAAGCAUUUAAAAACUAUACAGUACACUAUAUAAAUCUUCAACUGCAGUCUAGAGUCAAGUAUUAAUCAAAUGCAUUUUUAUCCCCAGUGGUUAAAAUGUUAAAGCAUAGCCAUGAAAUAUACCUCUAAGAUACAUUUUAAACCAUGAGAAAAACAUUUUCAAUUUGUAGACAUACGAGCAAGGUCUGAUUUCACAUUGAAUGGAAUGAAUUGUAUACAUGUUUGGAUCUUCCCUAAACAUACAAAUCAUGGUGUCAAGCAGUAAUAAAACACCAAUGAUGAAUGACAAAACCCCAUAUAACCUGGUUUCCAGUACUCACAGUGGUUCGGUUGUGAAUCUGCAGCGGCUAUUGGACAUUGACACACGACAUAGUGUAAGUGGUGCUAAAACAUACAGACUACAUUAAGUAAAACAUGCACAUUACCUCUCUAAAACAACAGAGGUGUAAAAGUACAACUCUUAGGGUGAAAUGUCCUGAUUUGUAAGACGAUGCCCUAUGAUUUUAUCCACGGUUUUAGUGAGGAAGUUGUCUAAAACAAUAUUUGAACAUUUUUUGCUGUAUUGCAGAGA
rnacentral:lncRNA from 1 species